rnacentral:lncRNA from 1 species
CUUUGUUUAGGUCAGGUCUAGGUUCCCCAUAUCGUCUUGUUCCCCCACCCUCCAACUCCUCCAAGCGAUUGCCCCUCCCUCACGCCGCGUCCCAUGCUUCGGGGAAGAGAGGUUGUUCCGUGGAGCGCUCGUGCUUGCGGCAGCGGGCAGAUCCCGUUCCAGAGGAGGCCCAAGGGGAGGAUCCGCGGCAGCGGUGUUUAAGGAGGUUUGCCGUCACGUGCACCAGGAGCCCGAUUCCGUUUCAAUUUGGCUCAGUUUUACUUGGUUAGUUUCCUAAUCCUUUUCAAUCUACCUUAUCUCAAGAUUACAUGUGAGCUAACCUUCUUAUAUAGUGCGUGUACACAAUGAACCUUUGUAUAAUAUAUACAUGGCAAUUUUUUGAAAAGGACUAUAAACAUCUUCUACACGAUGAGCAGAAAAAAUAAGGAAAAAAAUAUAAACGGGUAGAAAAGGAAAAAUACAAUAAGGAAACGAAAAGAAAAAUAAUACGUGACAUACAAUAACAAAAGGCCCGAAAAGGGAAAAAGGGAACGAAGAUAAAAACACAUACCAAACCGUUCAGAAAACACCCGACAAACUCACUCGAAGCAAGCUUGAGUGAAAAUAAUGAAAAAUAACUGCCUCAUGGGCUGUGAUCCACGAACCGCCUCAUGUAGUCACCCGAUAAUGCAUUCUCGCUAUAGGCGAGAAAUAGCUUUUGCGACCCAUAUACUCUGCGGGGCGCGUGUUGUGAGCGGAUUGGCCCGGACACGUCAUUUCAGUUACUAUUAUGCGAAUCGCGUUAAACAAAUCCUGCUUUUUAUACACUCUUAUGUGUGCAACUCCACGCACAUCAGAAGGGUCCUUUGUUUAGGCUAGGUCUAGGCUUCCCAUAUCGUCUUGUUCCCCCACCCUCCAACUCCUCCAAGCGAUUGCCUCUCCCUCACGCCGCGUCCCAUGCUCUGCGAAAUAGAGGUUGUUCUGUGGAGCGCGCGUGCUUGCGGCAAUGGGCAGAUCCGGUUCCGGAGGAGGCCCAAGGGGAGGAUCUACGGCGGCAGUGUUUAAGGAGGUUUGCCGUCACGUGCACCAGGAGCCCGAUUUGGGUCGAUUUUACUUGGUUAGUUUCCUAAUCCUUUUCAAUGUACCUUAUCUCGAGAUUACAUGUCAGCUAACCUUCUUAUAUAGUGCUUGUACACAAUGAACCUUUGUAUAAUAUAUACAUGGCAAUUUUUUGAAAAGGACUAUGGACAUCUUCUACACGAUGAGCAGAAAAAAUAACGAAAAAAAGAAUAUUAAUGGGGAAAGGAAAAAUACAAUAAGUAAAUGAAAAGAAAAACAAUACGUGACAUACAACAACAAAAGGCCCGAAAAGGGAAAAAUGGAACGAAGAUGAAAAAACACAUACCAAACAGGUCAGAAAAAACCCGACCAACUCACUCGAAGCAAGCUUGAGUGAAAAUAAUGAAAAAUAACUGCCUCAUGGGCUGUGAUCCUCGAACCGCCUCAUGUAGUCACCCCAUAAUGCAUUCUCGCGAUAAGCAAGAAAUAGCUUUUGCGACCCGUAUACUUUGUGGGGCGCGUGUUGUGAGCGGAUUGGUCCGGACACAUCAUUUCAGUUACUAUUAUGCUAAUUGCAUUAAACACAUCCAACCUUUUCUACACUCUUAUAUGCGCAACUCCAUACACAUCAGAAGAGUCCUUUGUUUAGGUUAGGUCUAGGUUUCCCAAAUCGUCUUGUUCCCCAACCCUCCAACUCCUCCAAGCGAUUGCCUCCCCCUCGUGCAGCGUCUUGUGCUUUGUGGAGGAGAGGUUGUUCCAUGGAGUGCACGUGCUUGUGGCAGCGGGCAGAUCUGGCGCCGGAGGAGGCCCAAGGGAAGGAUCGGUGGCGGCAGUGUUUAAGGAGGUUUGCUGUCACGUGCACCAGGAGCCCGAGUCAGUUCAGAUUUGGCUCGGUUUUAUUUGGUUAGUUUCCCAAUCCUUUUCAAUCUACCUUAUCUCGAGAUUACAUGUGAUGCUAGCUUCUUAUAUAUUGCUUGUACACAAUGAACUUUUGUAUAAUAUACAUACAUGGUAAUUUUUCUGAAAAAGACUAUGAACGUCUCUUACACAAUGAGCAGAAAAAA